UACGUAGGGUGUGAGCGUUGUCCGGAAUUACUGGGCGUAAAGAGCUCGUAGGUGGUUUGUCGCGUUGUCCGUGAAAACUCACAACUCAAUUGUGGGCGUGCGGGCGAUACGGGCAGACUGGAGUACUGCAGGGGAGACUGGAAUUCCUGGUGUAGCGGUGGAAUGCGCAGAUAUCAGGAGGAACACCGGUGGCGAAGGCGGGUCUCUGGGCCGAUACUGACGCUGAGGAGCGAAAGCGUGGGGAGCGAACAGG
rnacentral:rRNA from 1 species